AUGAAAAUUCUGAGUUGGAACUGUCGAGGCUUGGGGCCACCUCGUAUAGUUCAAGAGCUCGUGUGUCUGACCAAGGCACACCUUCCCAAUGUUAUAUUUCUUUCAAAAACGAGAAAAAAUAUAGAGUAUGUUGAGGUUUUGCAUUAUAAGUUGGGUAUGAAUAAUGUGUUUACUGUUUUUGGCCAUGGUAAAGGUGGAGGGCUUGCUGUGUUUUGGGAUGAAGCGCACUCUUUGGAGCUGAACUAA
rnacentral:rRNA from 1 species